rfam:Triticum aestivum genome assembly, contig: Triticum_aestivum_CS42_TGACv1_scaffold_569013_7AS
CUUAUGGAGAGUUCGAUCCUGGCUCAGGAUGAACACUGCCCGCAUGCUUAACACAUGCAAGUCGAGCGGGAAGUGGUGUUUCCAGUGGCGAACGGGUGAGUAACGCAUAAGAACCUGCCCUUGGGAGGGGAACAACAACUGGAAAUGGUUGCUAAUACCCCGUAGGCUGAGGAGCAAAAGGAGAAAUCCUCCUAAGGAGGGGCUCGCGUCUGAUUAGCUAGUUGGUGAGGUAAUAGCUUACCAAGGAGAUAAUCAGUAGCUGGUCUGAGAGGAUGAUCAGCCACACUGAGACUGAGACAUGUCCCACACUCCUAUGGGAGACAGCAGUGGGGAAUUUUCCGCGGUGGGCGAAAGCCUGACGGGGCAAUGCCACGUGGAGGUGGAAGGCCUACAGGUCGUCAACUUCUUUUCUCGGAGAAGAAACAAUGACGGUAUCUGAGGAAUAAGCAUCAGCUAUCUCUGUGCGGUAAGAUAGAGGAUGCAAGCGUUAUCCGAAUUGAUUGGGCGUAAAGCAUCUGUAGGUGGCUUUUCAAGUCAGCCAUCAAAUCCCAGGGCUCAACCCUGGACAGGCGGUGGAAACUACCAGUGGGAAUUUUUGGUGGAGCGGUGAAAUGCAUUAAGAUCGGAAAGAACACCAAUGGCGAAAGCACUAUGCUGGUCCGACACUGACACUGAGAGACGAAAGCUAGGGGAGCAAAUGGGAUUAGAGACCCAGUAGUCCUAGCCGUAAAAGAUGGAUACUAGGUGUUGUGCGACUCGACCCAUGCAGUGAUGUAGCUAACGUGGUAAGUAUCCCACCUGGGGAGUAUGUUUGCAAGAAUGAAACUCAAAGGAAUUGAUGGGGGCCCGCACAAGCGGUGGAGCAUGUGGUUUAAAUUGAUGCAAAGCGAAGAACCUUACCAGGGCUUGACAUGUCGCGAAUCCUCUUGAAAGAGAGGGUUGCCCUCAGGAACACGGACACAGGUAGUGCAUGGCUGUCGUCACCUCGUGCCAUAAGGUGCUGGGUUAAGUCUCGCAAUGAGCGCAACCCUCGUGUUGAGGUGCCACUAUGAGUUUGGAACCCUGAACAGACCGCCGGUGUUAAGCCGGAGGAAGGAGAGGAUGAGGCCAUGUCAUCGUUCCCCUUAUGCCCUGGACGACACACGUGCUACAAUGGGCGGGACAAAGGGUUGCGAUCUCGUGAGGGUGAGCUAACUCCAAAAACUCGUCCUCAAUUCGGAUUGCAGGCUGGAACUCACCUGCAUGAAGCAGGAAUUGCUAGUAAUUGCCGGUCAGCGAUAUGGCGGUGAAAUCCGUUCCCGGGCCUUGUACACACCGCCCGUCACACUAUAGGUGCUAGCCAUGUUUGAAGUCGUUACCCUUAACCGUAAGGAGGGGAAUGCCUAAGGCUAGGCUUGCGACUGGAGUGAAGUUGUAACAAGGUAGCCAUACUGGAAGGUGCUGCUGGAUCACCUCCUUU